CUGGCCUGGCCCAUUAACGAGGCCUACUCCUCUGUACUGUCUCUUCUCUCUUUCUUUCUCCCCUCUCCUCUUUCUUCUAUCUGUUAUCUUUUUAUUCUCUCUUGGUACAGCCCACAGUGAGAAUCGAUCGAUUCCCUGUAACCCACACUGAUGUCGACGAUUCUCAGGCCUCACGCUCAGACUGAUGUUGACGAUUCUCAGAUGAAUGGAAGUCUGGAUUAAGCGCAGAAAGUUCGGGCAUAGCUUAUGUCCAAUUUGGACCAAGCCUGCUAACAAAUUUUGUGUUUCUGCAAAUUUAGGAAGAUUGAGGAGUUUGAUGGAUCUUGAUUAAGCCCGCAGUUUAUUGACAAACAGGACAACACCAAACCGAAACUCGAUUUCUAUAAUGGGUGUACAGACAGAGCUUGGAGGACAUACUGGAUUCAGAAGGGAACCCAUUAAACAUGUGGCAGGACUGAAUUGCGUCACGUUCUGGAAUUGAUUUGAGUUUCAACUACUAUCAUUUUACCUUUGUUUCACAUGUCUUUUGAGCUCAAGAUGAGACUAAUUAAAGAUUGGAAAACAAAGCUCCUUGAAAAUGAAUGGCUGAUUGAGAUGCGAGUGAAUUGAUAAGCUUUGAUCUGAAAGACCUUGCUACUCCUGCUAAAAAGCUUGUGAACGCUGUCAUCUAUCUUGGCAGAUGAAUCUUGGACUUUAUUGUAGGUUGGAGAAAGAUUCAGGGUAUUUCUUCAAUAAGAGGUAUUUUGAGGAUUGCAUGAUGAAUGGUGAAUGAUGUGGGAGCACUACCUGGCUGGAUUUACUAAGGUUGAUGAAAACAGCGACUCUACGAAGUACCUAUGACCUGGCUCGUCUUCGUAGAGUCGCUGUUUUCAUCAACCUUAGUAAAUCCAGCCAGGUAGUGCUCACCUGCGAUUAGCCUCGAGGCCCUCGACAGACAUAACCACGCUAAACCUGUCCAGAUUCUUCAAAGGGAUUUGAAAACGCUCUUGACAUUCGGUGACGAGUUUUUUGAUGAAGUAUCAUCACUGUUUCUGCCGAUGGUCAUUUGCAGGUGUGUUGAGCUUAUUUAUUUUCUGAUUAGUUUGUCUUUUCAUGACCCUGCAUCACACAUGCUAUUGUAAAGCAAGCCAUGAUCAUGCAAGUGUUCGGGUUAAUUCGGUUGUGGUGUCUUAAUUGUUGCUACUGUACAAUUAGUCAUCCUUGAUUUGCUUUGUAUUGUGGCAUCCAAGUGGUAAGUUUUUUUUUUUCCUGAACAUGAAGACAUGGGCAGGCAAGGAAUGCAGGGACCAUAUAUUUCUUACUUUGACAGGAUUUGCACAUGUAUAUCAUUAAUUGUUUCUUUGGACUUAUAACAAUGACUCUUGGAACCAGUUUCUUCUUAAUUUGUAUAAAAAUGAGGGCCAUUCUGCACUGUUUACCCUUGCUGCUUUCAAAAUGAGGUCCUAGGAGGGAAAAAUGUCUUUUUUAGUAUUAACACAAACUCGAGAUCAAUUCCUGUAAUAUUAUGACAUGUAAUUAGUUAGGAGGCAUAAAAUAGUUUCAGAUUGAGCUCUGAGUGUGUGCGUCCUGUUCGUGUCUUGAUUUUGUCGUUCAUAACCCGUAAU